UACGAAGGGGGCUAGCGUUGUUCGGAAUCACUGGGCGUAAAGGGUGCGUAGGCGGUUCUUUAAGUCAGGGGUGAAAUCUUGGGGCUCAACUCCAGAACUGCCUUUGAUACUGAAGAUCUUGAGUUCGGGAGAGGUGAGUGGAACUGCGAGUGUAGAGGUGAAAUUCGUAGAUAUUCGCAAGAACACCAGUGGCGAAGGCGGCUCACUGGCCCGAUACUGACGCUGAGGCACGAAAGCGUGGGGAGCAAACAGG
rnacentral:rRNA from 1 species